rnacentral:rRNA from 1 species
AGAGUUUGAUCAUGGCUCAGAACGAACGCUGGCGGCAGGCCUAACACAUGCAAGUCGAGCGCCCAGCAAUGGGAGCGGCGGACGGGUGAGUAACACGUGGGAAUAUGCCCUUUGGUUCAGAACAACUCAGGGAAACUUGAGCUAAUACUGGAUGAGCCGGUAACGGGAAAGAUUUAUCGCCAAAGGAUUAGCCCGCGUCC